AUUGAACGCUGGCGGCAGGCCUAACACAUGCAAGUCGAGCGGAUGAAGGGAGCUUGCUCCUGGAUUCAGCGGCGGACGGGUGAGUGAUGCCUAGGAAUCUGCCUGGUAGUGGGGGAUAACGUCCGGAAACGGGCGCUAAUACCGCAUACGUCCUGAGGGAGAAAGUGGGGGAUCUUCGGACCUCACGCUAUCAGAUGAGCCUAGGUCGGAGUAGCUAGUUGGUGGGGUAAAGGCCUACCAAGGCGACGAUCCGUAACUGGUCUGAGAGGAUGAUCAGCCACACUGGAAAUGAGACAAGGUCCAAACUCCUACGGGAGGCAGCAGUGGGGAAUAUUGGACCAUGGGCGAAAGCCUGAUCCAGCCAUGCCGCGUGUGUGAAGAAGGUCUUCGGAUUGUAAAGCACUUUAAGUUGGGAGGAAGGGCAGUAAGUUAAUACCUUGCUGUUUUGACGUUACCAACAGAAUAAGCACCGGCUAACUUCGUG
rnacentral:rRNA from 1 species